UUCAUUUAUUUAUUUAUUUAUUUUUUGGUAGUGGAGGAAUAAGCUCCGUAGCUCUAGUUUUUCUCGACCUGCAUUGUUAUUUGCUACUAUCGCGCGACGAUUAUUAUCGCUGAUUUCCGAUUCUUGUGGAAAUGGACAAGUAACAGAAACCCUAACAUUCACCGGACUACGAAUGGAUUGGGCUUUUGUACAUAAAACAUGGGACAAGUGGGUUUCUACCUCUGUCGGCUCUUCCGGUCAGCCGUUGAAGGCUGCUUUGCUGAUUAACUACGACCCGACUGGACCUUCUCGCCUCUUGUCUACAAUUGCAGAGCAGGAGGAAAUAAAGCUCAGUCCUGUUGAAUUGACUCAAUUUGUUGAUUUCGUCAAGUGCAGCAAGCUCCAAACUGAGAGCUUCAUUAUUGGGGCAAACCAAUACUCAGCUUCUAGGGAUGUAAGUUUAUAUGCUGGGUGAUAUCUAUGCGUAAUUUCCUUUCUCGCUCUUGAAAAGUUAAGAAAUGAUGGAUUUAAUAGUAAAUUGACGUGUGUAUGUGUGUGUAAAUAUAUUUGUCAUAUUUAUAGGUACUUUUGUAUGGUCAACUAACUUUAUUGUGGCAGUGAUGUAUGUGUAUCUUAUUUUUCCUUCCCUUCAAAUUGGACAUUGUAUGACCAAUCACUUUAUUUUUUUAAUCCACUCUUUGUAGAUUUGACUGUGCCUAGAUUUUUCUAAGACAAAGGAUGUUGUUGGCAGGAGGACUUAGAUAUUCUUACCGACUUGCUGUAUAUAGGACCAUAUAGCACUUAAUUUUUAGUUGUUGGAAUUAGGGUUAGCACCACCUGAAUAAUUAACAGGGUAGUUAUUGGUAUCUUUCAAAUUCGUAGAGAAAAUCAUAAAAUUCUCUUGCUUGGUGAGUUAAUUAUAAAAUAUUGGGUGUUUCAAAUUAUAAAAUGUUGGGAAAGUAUAGUUCGAUAUCUUGUAGUUUGAAACUUUUCAAAUUUGAUAUAUAUUUUUUAUUUCUCCAGUACAUAUGUUUGACUGGAACAGUGUCAUUUUCGGCAUGUAGAUAGUCUGAAUUUUAAAGAAUUUUAUACAUGGACAGCACAGUUUAGACUAUAUUAUAUCAUAAAAAGACUAAUUAAAUUUAGAAAUUUGGUAUCAAAACUAAAAAUAAAUAAUAAACUCAGAACAUAAAAAAAAGGGUUCCGAAAAGACUCCUCACUCCAGUGCCUCCUCUUCCGUCACUGUCAUUGGUACCUCUCAUAAUCUCUGGGUACACCUCUUCAAGCCCAGUGCUGAUCACCCAGGUCGACCUUUGCUUGGUCAUUGUCUAUUUUUUCACAUUGUGAAUUCACAAUCUUCACCCAUAUGUCAUUCUGUGACAAUUGUUGUUGCCAGCUGGCAAGGGAUCUUGGAGUUGUGGCAUCGUUAAGCUUUUGUUGCUUGUUUGGUAUUCGACAGUAUGACUUUGAUGCAUUAGAUUUUGCUGACAAAUAUUUUGAGGAUUGCAUCCCUUUUGGAACUGCUCGGGAAGUGUUCCAUCGCAGGAGGAAAAACUGGUGGGAACUUGGCUCACCACGUGUCAAAAGAGUUUAAGGAGGACAUGUUUCGAAAUCAAAAUGCUAGGAAUAGAAAUAAAACUGUUUUUCAGCGGGAAAGAAAGAAUCGGAAAUGAUGAAGAUGAACUAAUGAAGCCCAAGCAAGAUUUGGUUACAUCAAUUCAUGAGCAUUGGUUUUAUGCAAGGUGCAUGAACCCAGGAAAGCCGGAUGGGGAAGGUGCAAUUGUUAUGCAGACUGCAGUAUUCUUGUUGGUUGCACUGUAAGUGCAUCACUGAAUUUUUUUUUCUUUUCGGUAAACUUUAGAAGGUUGCUUAUGACAGGAACAAGUGAAUUCUAAAAUAUUAUAGAAUUCAUUAAAAAACUAAUCUUAUAUUUGUAGUUAUUUCAAAUAAGGGGAUUCCAUUGGUUUGCUGAA